UUCAUUUUGGUGUAUGAUGCAUCGUAGUUUUUGGUAUUUCUGGUAAUAGUUUAACUCUGUUAGGUGUUU
rnacentral:tRNA from 1 species